rnacentral:rRNA from 1 species
UGAGUAACACGUAUCCAACCUGCCGUCUACUCUUGGCCAGCCUUCUGAAGGAAGAUUAAUCCAGGAUGGGAUCAUGAGUUCACAUGUCCGCAUGAUUAAAGGUAUUUUCCGGUAGACGAUGGGGAUGCGUUCCAUUAGAUAGUAGGCGGGGUAACGGCCCACCUAGUCAACGAUGGAUAGGGGUUCUGAGAGGAAGGUCCCCCACAUUGGAACUGAGACACGGUCCAA